GACUGGUGGAGCGCUUAGAAGUGAGAAUGCAGGUAUGAGUAGCGAAAGAGGGGUGAGAAUCCCCUCCACCGAAUGCCUAAGGUUUCCUGAGGAAGGCUCGUCCGCUCAGGGUUAGUCGGGACCUAAGCCGAGGCCGAAAGGCGUAGGCGAUGGACAACAGGUUGAUAUUCCUGUACCACCUCCUCACCAUUUGAGCAAUGGGGGGACGCAGGAGGAUAGGGUAGGCGCGGUAUUGGAUAUCCGCGUCCAAGCAGUUAGGCUGGGAAAUAGGCAAAUCCGUUUCCCAUAAGGCUGAGCUGUGAUGGCGAGCGAAAUAUAGUAGCGAAGUUCCUGAUUCCACACUGCCAAGAAAAGCCUCUAGCGAGGUGAGAGGUGCCCGUACCGCAAACCGACACAGGUAGGCGAGGAGAGAAUCCUAAGGUGAUCGAGAGAACUCUCGUUAAGGAACUCGGCAAAAUGACCCCGUAACUUCGGGAGAAGGGGUGCUCUGUUAGGGUGCAAGCCCGAGAGAGCCGCAGUGAAUAGGCCCAGGCGACUGUUUAGCAAAAACACAGGUCUCUGCGAAGCCGUAAGGCGAAGUAUAGGGGCUGACGCCUGCCCGGUGCUGGAAGGUUAAGAGGAGCGCUUAGCGUAAGCGAAGGUGCGAAUUGAAGCCCCAGUAAACGGCGGCCGUAACAAUAACGGUCCUAAGGUAGCGAAAUUCCUUGUCGGGUAAGUUCCGACCCGCACGAAAGGCGCAACGAUCUGGGCACUGUCUCAACGAGAGACUCGGUGAAAUUAUAGUACCUGUGAAGAUGCAGGUUACCCGCGACAGGACGGAAAGACCCCGUGGAGCUUCACUGCAGCCUGAUAUCGAAUGUUGGUACAGCUUGUACAGGAUAGGUAGGAGCCUUGGAAACCGGAGCGCCAGCUUCGGUGGAGGCAUCGGUGGGAUACUACCCUGGCUGUAUUGACCUUCUAACCCGCCGCCCUUAUCGGGCGGGGAGACAGUGUCAGGUGGGCAGUUUGACUGGGGCGGUCGCCUCCUAAAAGGUAACGGAGGCGCCCAAAGGUUCCCUCAGAAUGGUUGGAAAUCAUUCGCAGAGUGUAAAGGCACAAGGGAGCUUGACUGCGAGACCUACAAGUCGAGCAGGGACGAAAGUCGGGCUUAGUGAUCCGGUGGUUCCGCAUGGAAGGGCCAUCGCUCAACGGAUAAAAGCUACCCCGGGGAUAACAGGCUUAUCUCCCCCAAGAGUCCACAUCGACGGGGAGGUUUGGCACCUCGAUGUCGGCUCAUCGCAUCCUGGGGCUGUAGUCGGUCCCAAGGGUUGGGCUGUUCGCCCAUUAAAGCGGUACGCGAGCUGGGUUCAGAACGUCGUGAGACAGUUCGGUCCCUAUCCGUCGCGGGCGCAGGAAAUUUGAGAGGAGCUGUCCUUAGUACGAGAGGACCGGGAUGGACGCACCGCUGGUGUACCAGUUGUUCUGCCAAGGGCAUCGCUGGGUAGCUAUGUGCGGACGGGAUAAGUGCUGAAAGCAUCUAAGCAUGAAGCCCCCCUCAAGAUGAGAUUUCCCAUUCCGCAAGGAAGUAAGAUCCCUGAAAGAUGAUCAGGUUGAUAGGUCUGAGGUGGAAGUGUGGCGACACAUGGAGCUGACAGAUACUAAUCGAUCGAGGACUU
rnacentral:rRNA from 1 species